AGAUCAAAUUGUUGGUCGUGCCUUGGUACGUACUGACAUUAUUGGUUUCUCCCUUCUGAAGAACCAUGAUGUCAUUAAUUUGGUGUCAUGGGGAAUCAGGACUGUUACUUUGAAAAAAUUAGAGUGUUUAAAGCAGGCUCGCGCUUGAAUACAUUAGCAUGGAAUAAUGAAAUAGGACGUUUAAUUCUAUUUUGUUGGUUUCUAGGAUUGACGUAAUGAUUAAUAGGGAUAGUUG
rnacentral:rRNA from 1 species